AGUCGAGCGGUAACAGAUCCAGCUUGCUGGAUGCUGACGAGCGGCGGACGGGUGAGUAAUGCAUAGGAAUCUGCCCGAUAGUGGGGGAUAACCUGGGGAAACCCAGGCUAAUACCGCAUACGUCCUACGGGAGAAAGGGGGCUUCGGCUCCCGCUAUCGGAUGAGCCUAUGUCGGAUUAGCUAGUUGGUGAGGUAAAGGCUCACCAAGGCAACGAUCCGUAGCUGGUCUGAGAGGAUGAUCAGCCACAUCGGGACUGAGACACGGCCCGAACUCCUACGGGAGGCAGCAGUGGGGAAUAUUGGACAAUGGGGGCAACCCUGAUCCAGCCAUGCCGCGUGUGUGAAGAAGGCCCUCGGGUUGUAAAGCACUUUCAGCGAGGAAGAACGCCUAGCGGUUAAUACCCGCUAGGUAAGACAUCACUCGCAGAAGAAGCACCGGCUAACUCCGUGCCAGCAGCCGCGGUAAUACGGAGGGUGCAAGCGUUAAUCGGAAUUACUGGGCGUAAAGCGCGCGUAGGUGGCUUGAUAAGCCGGUUGUGAAAGCCCCGGGCUCAACCUGGGAACGGCAUCCGGAACUGUCAAGCUAGAGUGCAGGAGAGGAAGGUAGAAUUCCCGGUGUAGCGGUGAAAUGCGUAGAGAUCGGGAGGAAUACCAGUGGCGAAGGCGGCCUUCUGGACUGACACUGACACUGAGGUGCGAAAGCGUGGGUAGCAAACAGGAUUAGAUACCCUGGUAGUCCACGCCGUAAACGAUGUCGACCAGCCGUUGGGUGCCUAGCGCACUUUGUGGCGAAGUUAACGCGAUAAGUCGACCGCCUGGGGAGUACGGCCGCAAGGUUAAAACUCAAAUGAAUUGACGGGGGCCC
rnacentral:rRNA from 1 species